UUGAUUACGUCCCUGCCCUUUGUACACACCGCCCGUCGCUGCCCGGGACUGGGCCAUUUCGAGAAAUUUGGGGAUUGCUGAUUAGCGAUUCUUACGGAUUGCUUUUUGGUGAGAACCAAUUUAAUCGCAGUGGCCUGAACCGGGCAAAAGUCGUAACAAGGUGGCUGUAGGUGAACCUGCUGCCGGAUCAUUAACGAUCAUACCAAUCCACUUUCAGUGGUUAUAUUAGUCCUCAAAGGUGGCAUGCUUCUGCCAUGCAGGCACAGAGUAGUUGUCCCGCUCUGUAUUUGUACUUGCGUUUGGGCUUGCACUUUCUGCUGUGUACUUGCGCUGUGUGCUUGCGCUGUGUGCCUGCGCUGUGUGCUUGUGCUGUGUGCUUGCUUUAAUUAGCUUGCAUUUGCGCUCGCAUUUGUGCUCGCAUUUGUGCUUUCAUUUGUGCUUGUAUUUGCGGUUGUGUUUGCUGGUGCGCUUGUGCCUGGCUAAUUUGUGGGCGAAAAACGGCUUUGUUGGCCUCUAAGUUUUCCUGAGCAGUUGUAUGCUUCUUUGUCCGUGGCUGUGAUGAAGGAAAACGGUACGUGGUUUUUGUAAUCGCGAGAGUUAAUGAGCACUGGCUUUGGUGCCGCCAACACAAAACCCCAAUUUUACAAAUUUUUCAAGAGAAUAUUUUUAGUCUUAUCGGUGGAUCACUCGGCUCGUAGAUCGAUGAAGAACGCAGCCAACUGCGAUAAUUAGUGCGAACUGCAGAUAUUUUGAGCACUAAAGUUUCGAAUGCACAUUGCGCCAUUGGAUUUUAUCCUUUGGCACGUCUGAUUCAGGGUCGUAAAUACAAAACCCCAAGCUAAUGGUGGUGAUAUGACCUGUGCGGACCGCUGUCUCUUUGGCCUAGCACGUGUUUCUUGUGCAGCCUCUUGGCCAAUGUUGACAUCGCUCUCACUCGAGAAAACGCUGUCCAGUGUUUGGUGACAUUGCUGUAAGUCCUAGCGAUUCCUAUGGACGUAAGGCUUUGAAGCCAAACGCAGAGCAGUCGAUUUUUCGACCUGAAUCUGACGUGAUUACCCGCUGAACUUAAGCAUAUCAGUAAGCGGAGGAAAAGAAACUAACAAGGAUUCCCUUAGUAACGGCGAGUGAAA
rnacentral:rRNA from 1 species